rnacentral:lncRNA from 1 species
UAUUGGGUUAGAACAGUUCUAGAAGACAGGGUUAUAGGGUUAGAACAGUUCUAGAAGACAGGGUUAGAACCGUUCUAGAAGACAGGGUUAGAACAGUUCUAGAAGACAGGGUUAGAACAGUUCUAGAAGACAGGGUUAUAGGGUUAGAACAGUUCUAGAAGACAGGGUUAGAACCGUUCUAGAAGACCGGGUUAGACCAUUUCUAGAAGACAGGGUUAUAGGGUAAACAGUUCUAGAAGACAGGGUUAGGUUAGAACAGUUCUAGAAGACAGGUGUAUAGGGUUAGAACAGUUCGAGAAACAGGUCAUUGGGUUAGAACAGUUCUAGAAGACAGGUUAUAGGGUUAGAACAAUCUAUAAGACAGGGUUUGUAGAACAGUUCGAGAAGACAUGGUUAGAACAGUUCUAGAAGACAGGGUUAUAGUAGAACGUUCUAGAAACAGGUAGAUUAGAAACAGGGUUACCAGUUCUAAAGCAGGUAGGAACAGUUCUAGAACAGGGUUAUAGGGUUAGAACAGUUUGAGAAGACAGGGUUAUAGGUUUAAACAGUUUCUGAAGCGGGUUUAUAGGUUAGAACAUUCUAGAAGACAGGUUAGAACAUUCUAGAA